UGUAUGUACCAUCAGAAAAAGGACCGGCUAAUUCCGUGCCAGCAGCCGCGGUAAUACGGAAGGUCCAGGCGUUAUCCGGAUUUAUUGGGUUUAAAGGGAGCGUAGGCGGAUUUUUAAGUCAGUUGUGAAAGUUUGCGGCUCAACCGUAAAAUUGCAGUUGAUACUGGAAGUCUUGAGUGCACGCAGGGAUGCUGGAAUUCGUCGUGUAGCGGUGAAAUGCUUAGAUAUGACGAAGAACUCCGAUCGCGAAGGCAUGUGUCCGGAGUGCAACUGACGCUGAGGCUCGAAAGCGUGGGGAGCAAACAGGAUUAGAUACCCUG
rnacentral:rRNA from 1 species